rnacentral:misc_RNA from 1 species
UAACAUUCUGGUGGGUCAUGAGG